rnacentral:rRNA from 1 species
UACGUAGGGGGCAAGCGUUGUCCGGAUUUAUUGGGCGUAAAGCGCGUGUAGGCGGCCAGGUAGGUCCGCUGUGAAAACCCGAGGCUCAACCUCGGGACGUCGGCGGAAACCAUCUGGCUAGAGUCCGGAAGAGGAGAAUGGAAUUCCCGGUGUAGCGGUGAAAUGCGCAGAUAUCGGGAAGAACACCCGUGGCGAAGGCGGUUCUCUGGGACGGUACUGACGCUGAGACGCGAAAGCGUGGGGAGCGAACAGG